GUAGGUAUAGCUCAGUAGCAGAGCGUGUGCUUAGCGUGCACAAGGUCCUGGGUUCAAUCCCCAGUUCCUCCA
rfam:Camelus ferus unplaced genomic scaffold scaffold340, whole genome shotgun sequence.